rnacentral:lncRNA from 1 species
UGCUCAGGGAGGUAAAUCGCAGGAUGUGCCCUUGUUGGUUCCCAGGUUCCUACAUGGCUUUUACUCCUUCCCCAAAGGGAGCCUCCUCCAUGGUGAUUAAUCCACCAAUAAUUCCUCCUUUAUUGGAUCAAAGGUUCCCACCAGGAAUCGAACUCCCCACGCUUGGUUUCAGAGCCCCCCAAUGUGAUUGUUCUGCCAACUUGGAUGUGCCCUGGGGGG